UUAAUUCCCUGCCCUUUGUACACACCGCCCGUCGCUACUACCGAUUGAAUGGCUCAGUGAGGCGUCCGGACUGGCCCAGAGAGGUGGGCAACUACUUCUCAGGGCCGGAAAGCUCUCCAAACUCGGUCAUUUAGAGGAAGUAAAAGUCGUAACAAGGUCUCCGUUGGUGAACCAGCGGAGGGAUCAUUA
rnacentral:rRNA from 1 species